rnacentral:lncRNA from 1 species
GUACUAACAUUUUUAAUCAACUAUUUUGUUAACAUUUUUCCUUUACCUAUUUAUAAACGUUCUUAAUAAAAUAACAAUCACUCUGAAAAAAAUACUCAUAAAAAAAAAAAAACACUUAACAGGGGUAACAAACCACAAUUAAAUAUAUAUACAUAUAUAUAUAUAUAUAUAUAUAUAUAUAUAAAGGAAAAAAAAAUGGAUAAAAAAAAGACCGCGAAUAAAACGGACGCACAUAAAAAAAGAGAUGUUAAACAUAAUUCUAAAAUGACAGAAAAAAAACAAGAAAAGAAAAGUGAAACAGGAAUAAACAAAACUAAAAGAGAAGAUGGAAUGAAUUCAAAUAAAAAGAAUAACCCAAAAGUAGAAAAAAUAAUAGGUGCAAAAAAUAAUCGUGUUAUUAAUAUAGCAAAUAAUAAUAAUAAAAAAAAUGCUAAAGUUAUAAAAAAUAAUAAUUCAGGGGGAUGUUUUUUAAGUUCUUGUUGUUGUAAUUCUGCUGAAAGCGAACAAAUAAAUGAAUUAAUUGUGGAAGAUGACAAAGUAGUAGAAAAUAAAGAAAAAGAAAGAUUAACUAUGGAAUAUGAAGAUGCUGUAGCACAAGAAGAAAAUGCAAAAAUAAAAAAAAUAAGAGAAGAAGAAAAUAAAAGAUUAAAAAAAUUACAAGAAGAACAAGAAGAAAAAAAAAAACAAGAAGAACAAGAAAAAUUAAAAAUAGAUGAAAAUGUAAAUACAAGAAAAAGAGAUACUAUAUUAAUACAUAAAGAUAUUAAAGGUAAAGUAUUUACAAAAAAAAAAAAAAAAAAAAAAAAAGAUAAUUUAUGCACCUUUAGAACAACCAGUCGAGUUUGUCGGUGAAUAUAUUUUUGUUAUUCAGAAAGGGUUGGAUAUAUUCAAAGACGCAUCAGAUCUGGAAAAAUUAUAUUCAUAUGUUGGUUCUUAUGGAGCAAUGAUAAAUAUAUCCUAAGUAAAUUAUCAUCUGGGUAUGUACGUAUGUACAUAUAUAUAUAUAUAUGUUUAUCCGUAUGUAUGUUUAUCUGUAUGUAUGUAAAUGAAUAUAUUUGUUAAUAACUAUUUAAAUAUAUAAGAAAGACUUUAGAUAUGAGAAUUAAAAAGUAUACAUUUUUGUUCUCUCCCUCUCUCUCUCUCUCUAUCUAUCUAUCUAUCUAUCUAUCUAUCUCUCUCUCUCUUUUUUUUUUUUUUUUUUUUUUUUUUGUACCUAUUUUUUUUGUUGCUUACCAUUUUCAAAUAACACUAUUUCGUUUAUAACUUUAUUGUUGUUUCAACUGUUAUUUUAAUAAAACAUUUUUAUAUGUUUUUUGUUGACCUUUU